AGAGUUUGAUCCUGGCUCAGGAUGAACGCUGGCGGCGUGCCUAAUACAUGCAAGUCGAACGGGAAGCUUGGAGCGAUCUAAGCUGAGAGUGGCGCACGGGUGAGUAACACAUGGCUGACCUGCCCUCCAGAGGGGGAUAACGGCUGGAAACGGCCGCUAAUACCCCAUACGCUCCCUGAGGUUAGAGGCUUAGGGAGGAAAGCUAUGGUGCUGGAGGAGGGGGCUGUGGCCCAUCAGCUAGUUGGUAGGGUAAAGGCCUACCAAGGCGACGACGGGUAGGGGGCCUGAGAGGGUGACCCCCCACACUGGGACUGAGACACGGCCCAGACUCCUACGGGAGGCAGCAGUAAGGGAUCUUGCGACAAUGGGCGAAAGCCUGACGCAGCAACGCCGCGUGCGGGAUGACGGCCUUCGGGUUGUAAACCGCUUUUCGAGGGGAAGAGGGAGGACGGUACCCUCGGAAUAAGUCUCGGCUAACUACGUGCCAGCAACCGCGGUAAAACGUAGGAGGCGAGCGUUAUCCGGAUUUACUGGGUGUAAAGCGCGUGCAGGCGGUCGUGUAAGUGGUGCGUGAAAGCUCCCGGCUCAACCGGGAGAGGACGUGCCAAACUGCAGGGCUAGAGGCAGGUAGAGGCGUGUGGAAUUCCGGGUGUAGUGGUGAAAUGCGUAGAGAUCCGGAGGAACACCAGUGGCGAAGGCGACACGCUGGGCCUGGCCUGACGCUCAGACGCGAAAGCAUGGGGAGCGAACGGGAUUAGAAACCCCGGUAGUCCAUGCUGUAAACGAUGCUGACUAGGUGUUGCGGGUGAGAUACUCCGGCAGUGCCGAAGCCAACGUGGUAAGUCAGCCACCUGGGGACUACGGCCGCAAGGUUAAAACUCAAAGGAAUUGACGG
rnacentral:rRNA from 1 species